GUUAAAUUUUUAAAAGUAGUUAUUUUUUUAUUAUUUAUUAAGAAAAAAUUUUAUUUAUUAUAGAGUAUUAGUACCGUGAGGGAAUUAUUUUAAAUGGUGAGAAGAAGAAUAUUUUUCGUACCUUGUGUAUCAGGGUUGAUUAACUAGAAGAUUUAUAUAAAUUAUUCUCGAAAUUAGAAGAGCUAAUUAAAUAUUAAUUUUACUGUGAAAUAAGUAUUUAUAAUAUUUAAUUAGAGGUGAAAUGCUAUUCGCUUUUAAUUAUAUCUAGUUUUUCAAGAAAAAAGUUGAAUUUUAUAUUUAAUAUUAAAUUUUCUUUAUUAUUAGGGAGUUUUUAUUAUUUUUUUAUUUUUAAGGGGAUAAGCUUUUAAAAAUAUUUCUAUAACUUAAAUUGAAAUGCAAUAAAUUAUAGGAUUAAUAUUUUUCAUAGAUAAUAGGAUGUUAUAAUUAAUUAUUAGGUAUAUUUUAUUUAUAUUAAGUUUAGGUUUUUUAUUGAAAUAAUAUAUUUAAUUUAUUUUUAUAUUUAAUUAUGAUCAAAUUAGUAUAGUUAAAUGUUAUUAUAAUUUUAUAUUUAAGGUAAGCUUAAGGAACUCGGCAAAUUUGCUUUUCACCUGUUUAUUAAAAACAUGUCCUUUUGAUAAUAAUUUAAGGUCUAACCUGCCCACUGAAUUUUAAAUGGCCGCGGUAUUUUGACCGUGCAAAGGUAGCAUAAUCAUUAGUUUUUUAAUUGAAAGCUGGAAUGAAUGGUUGAAUGAGAAAGCAGCUGUCUCAAGUUUAUUUUUUUAGAAUUUUAUAUUUAAGUCAAAAAGCUUAAAUUUGAUUAAAAGACGAGAAGACCCUAUAGAAUUUCAUAUGUAUUACUUUAAUUAUUAUUGGAUUUGGGUUAUUUUUAAUUUAAUAUUAUAUUUUGUUGGGGUGACAGAAAAAUUUAACUAACUUUUUUUGAAUUUUUUCACUAGUGAGUGUUUAUUUGAUCCAAUAGAUUUUGAUUACAAGAAUAAAUUACCUUAGGGAUAACAGCGUAAUUUUUUUUGAGAGUUCUUAUCGAAAAAGAAGAUUGCGACCUCGAUGUUGGAUUAAAGUUUAUUUAUGGUGCAGAAGCUAUAUGAUUGGGUCUGUUCGACCCUUGAAACUUUACAUGAUCUGAGUUUAAACCGGCGUGAGCCAGGUUGGUUUCUAUCUUUAAUUAAUAGGAGUAUCUUAGUACGAAAGGACCAGGUACUUGGUUUAUAAUCUUGAAUUUGAAUUCUAUU
rnacentral:rRNA from 1 species